ACAAGACACAGAAACCCUCCUCAUCAGCAACAUGACUCUGAUCUCCGUCCUCAUCUGGACUCUCCUCUGCUGCUGCUUCACAGAGUCCAGAGGUCAGGUCACAGUGACUCAGCCUGGAGCAGUGAGAACCACACUGGGAGGAAGAGUCACCAUCAGCUGUAGAACCAGUCAGAGUGUUGCAUGUAGCCCUAAUUGUUUGUCCUGGUACCAACAGAAAAAUGGAGAAUCUCCUAAACUGCUCAUUUACCGUGCUACUAGUCGACAGUCAGGGAUUCCAGAUCGCUUUUCAGGCAGUGGAUCAAACUCUGACUUCACUCUGACCAUCAGUGGAGUCCAGGCUGAAGAUGCAGCAGAUUAUUACUGUCAGAGUUAUCAUUACAUUAACAGCAACUAUGUGUUGACACAGUGAAAAACUGUCAUACAAAAACCUCCUCAGUCAAAUUGAACAGAAACUGAACUAACUGCUGCAGCUGUCAACAGAGUCAACACUUAAAUUUCAACUUGACCUAACGUUGGUUGUAAAUUUGCACUAUACUGUAUAAUUAAAACUGAAUUGAAUUGUUAAAACACAUCAGCUCUGACUGUAGACACAGAUCUGAUUCUAACAGAGAAAAUUGGAAAACUUUCAAACUAAUUAAUUAAUGACUAAACUUUAAACACUCAGCUCAUAAAUUACAGUUUUGGAAGAUUGUAGAUGCAGCAACACACAAAUCUAGAAAAUAAUUUAUGAGAACUUAAUAUUGAUCCUUUUACAAAUCUUUCACAAACAU